UACGUAGGGACCAAGCGUUGUUCGGAUUUACUGGGCGUAAAGGGCGCGUAGGCGGCAUGACAAGUCACUUGUGAAAUCUCCGGGCUUAACUCGGAACGGUCAAGUGAUACUGUCGCGCUAGAGUGCGGAAGGGGCAAUCAGAAUUCUUGGUGUAGCGGUGAAAUGCGUAGAUAUCAAGAGGAAUACCUGAGGUGAAGACGGGUUGCUAGGCCGACACUGACGCUGAAGAGCGAAAGCGUGGGGAGCGAACAGG
rnacentral:rRNA from 1 species